GCCUAAACUAUCUAUGAUGAAAACUAGUGGUUGAAAAUCUGUGAUAUGUAAUCAAAAUGUUUCGUCACUACCACUGAGAUAGUUUUAGC